UACGAGGGGGGCGAGCGUUGUUCGGAAUUAUUGGGCGGAAAGGGUGCGUAGGCGGUUCCGCAAGUCCGGUGUGAAAUCUUCGGGCUCAACUCGAAGUCUGCACGGGAAACUGCGGGGCUUGAGUGUGGGAGAGGUGAGUGGAAUUCCCGGUGUAGCGGUGAAAUGCGUAGAUAUCGAGAGGAACACCGGUGGCGAAGGCGGCUAUCUGGACAGUGACUGACGCUGAGACGCGAAAGCGUGGGGAGCAAACAGG
rnacentral:rRNA from 1 species